AGAUCCCUGCGGUGUGCGCCAGUGGAUUGUAUUCCUUGAGCCUAUAUUUAAGCGCUAGGGGAGCAGGAUUCGAUGAGGUCAAUGAGCAUAUCCGCCGAGUAGCGGAGAGCCUACGACAUCACGCGGAGCUCCCACUUGAACUGUUCGGUUCAAGAGCGAUGUUCACAGCGGCAUCGCGGGGUUUUU
rfam:Nitrosococcus oceani ATCC 19707, complete genome.